GAAUGCAGUGGUGCGAUCUCGGCUCACUGCAACCUCCACCUCCUGGGUUCAACUGAUUCUCCUGCCUCAGCCUCCCGAGUAGCUGGGAUUACAGGUGCCCGCCACCAUGCCUGGCUAAUUUUUCUAUUUUUGUAGAGAUGGGUUAUCAACUUGUUGGCCAGGCUGGUCUUGAACUCCUGGGCUCAAGUGAUCUGUCCGCCUUGGCCUCCCAAAGUGCAGGGACCUCUCUAUGUGUCCAUGAGUUCACAUCAUUUAGCUUCCACUUGUAAGUGAGAACAUGUGGUAUUUGGUUUUCUGUUCCUGAGUUAGUAUGCUAAGAAUAAUGGCUUCCAGCUCCAUCCAUGUUCCAGCAAAGGGCACAAUCUUGCUCUUUUUAUGCCUGCAUAGUAUUCCAUGGUGUAUGUGUACCACGUCUUCUUUAUCCCGUGUACUACUGAUGGGCAUUUAGGUUGAUUCCAUGUCUUUGCUACUGUGAAUAGUGCUGCAGUGAACAUGGCUGUGCAUGUGUCCUUAUAGUAGAACUAUUCCUUUGGGUAUUGUUUUUUUCUAUUUCGCCUUUAAACAAUGCAGCAAUGGGCAACCUUGUACUUAUACCAUGUGAAUUGUUUUGCCAUUAAAAACUUUUUUUUUUUUGAGACAAGGUCUCAUUCUGUUGCCCAGGCUACGAUGCAGUGGCACAGUCAUGGUUUACUGUAACCUCGAACUCCUAGGUUCAAAUGACCCUCCUGCCUCAGCCUCCUGAGUAGCUGGAACUACAGGUAUCCACCACCACAUUCGGCUUUUUUUUUUUUUUUGUAGAGAAGGGGUCUUGUUAUGUUAGCCAGGCUGGUCUCCAACCCCUAGCCUCAAGCGAUCCUAAUGCCUCAGCUUCCCAAAGUGCUGGGAUUGUAAGGAGUGAGCCACCUUGCCUGCCAUUUAAAAUUUUUGAAUAUGAUUCCCCAUCUUUCAUUUCUAUUGACCACUUCUUUACUAUACAUUUUCAUAUAUGUUGCCCAUUUUUCUGCUGGCACUUUGGUUGUCUUACUGAUUUGUAAAGUAUCUUUUAGAUAUGAAGCAAA
rnacentral:lncRNA from 10 species